CCUCCCCUCUCUUCCGCUCCCUUCCCUUCCUGUGCCUCUCUCCAGCGCCGGAGAGCGGAGGAGAGGUGGAGAAGCCAUUGCCUGCCUCCCCUCCCCUGGCCUCGUGCUCUGCCGCUGCCGGCUCCUGCCUUCCUUCCGUGGCUUCUCUUCAUCCCUCUUUCCCGGGGAGGGAAGGAAGGAGGGAGGGAAGAAGAGGGACUGGCCUGCUCGCAUCAGACCUGCUGUGGCUGCAUCUGCCGACAAGAACAAGAUAACUGAGAUUCAGGUCUGACGAUAGAGAGAAGGCCAGAGAGGAAGGGACGUCCACGCUUCAGAGAGAACCCUCCGGCCACGUCAAACAUGAACGCCUGUCACUUUGUACUGUCACGGAAGCACUUCCCGGUAGCACUCAUGGCUGGUACAACACCUCCCUCCUAGCUCCACCAGUGGGGGGGUGAGGAGGUGGAGUCGGGUGUUGAGGGAGUCCCCCUGGACCCACCCAUCUGCCAGUCCAGACAACCCUCCCAGGCUGUUUCGCUAAUACAUGUUGGACGUGAUUGGAUGUGACCGCAGCGCUUGGCA
ensembl:lncRNA